AUGAGCGGCUCCUGAUGUGCCCAAAAGCUUGAUAAAACUGGUAAAAUGUAUUUCUUCCACCCCACUCAGUUGAAGUGUGUGUUCAAGUAAUGAAAUUUAACGAAUUUUAAUGUUGCACAGCUUGAUAAACCACGUGACGUUUAAAACAGGUGCCAACUGAUGUGCCAAGCUAGCGUAAAAUGUUCGUCUGCUAGCUUAACAACAGUUGCUAAUAAACGCUCAACCUCACAAAAGGGUCUUUGAAAAUUUGGAAGGUGCAAGACUGAAACGUCCGCGGCGUUCUAAGACGAGCUGCACGAACAUCCGCCGUGGCUAAGCUAGAGAUUUGACGCCCAUCUGGGUGCAUCGCUCUCGCUUCUCUCAAGAGUGGGUGCUGUCUUGGGGGUCGAACUUGUGGCUCUCUGCCAGUCCGGCGCUGCACUUCCUGCCGCUCCCUUGAUUGGGUACCAGUGAGAGGGGGUCUGGUCUGAUGAGGUACCUAUGGAUGGGAAACAGACAGCGCAGAGGAACCCUGAACCGGGCAUGGAGUCGAGGCCCAGCAGCAACCUGGUGAUGGAGAUCAUGUAAUCCUUGACGAAGGACUGUCCAAAGUGAGAGGAGUGUGUCUAGCAUGCUAACGCUGAAGACUUUGCCUGCUGCAAAGGGCAGGCGGAACAUAAAUACCAGGUUGGAUCCUCUCUCCCUUUCCUUCUGCAG